rnacentral:rRNA from 1 species
GGUCACUUGGACUAUCCAGAUCAGAUGUUUCCUUCGGGGACAAUGGAGACAGGUGGUGCAUGGUUGUCGUCAGCUCGUGUCGUGAGAUGUUGGGUUAAGUCCCGCAACGAGCGCAACCCUUGCCUUUAGUUGCCAGCAUUAAGAUGGGCACUCUAGAGGGACUGCCAGGGAUAACCUGGAGGAAGGUGGGGAUGACGUCAAAUCAUCAUGCCCCUUAUGACCAGGGCUACACACGUGCUACAAUGGGUGAUACAGAGGGAAGCCAAACCGUGAGGUGGAGCUAAUCCCUUAAAGCCAUUCUCAGUUCGGAUUGUAGGCUGCAACUCGCCUACAUGAAGCUGGAGUUACUAGUAAUCGCAGAUCAGAAUGUCUGCGGUGAAUGCGUUUCCCGGGUCUUGUAACACACCGA